rnacentral:rRNA from 1 species
UUUGGUGAGGAAUAACACGAGGAAACUUGUGCUAAUACCUCAUAAGUCUUUACGGAGAAAGCUUUAUGCGCCAAUGGAUGAGCCCGCACUUGAUUAGUUUGUUGGUGGGGUAACGGCCUACCAAGACGGUGAUCAAUAGCUGAUCUGAGAGGAUGAUCAGCCACAUUGGGACUGAGACACGGCCCAAACUCCUACGGGAGGCAGCAGUAGGGAAUAUUGCACAAUGGAGGAAACUCUGAUGCAGCGAUGCCGCGUGAGUGAAGAAGGCCCUUGGGUUGUAAAGCUCUUUCGUCGGGGAAGAAAAUGACUGUACCCGAAUAAGAAGCGCCGGCUAACUCCGUGCCAGCAGCCGCGGUAAUACGAAGGGACCUAGCGUAGUUCGGAAUUACUGGGCUUAAAGAGCUCGUAGGUGGUUAGAAAAGUUGGUGGUGAAAUCCCAAGGCUUAACCUUGGAACUGCCAUCAAAACUUUUUAGCUAGAGUAUGAUAGAGGAAAGUGGAAUUUCUAGUGUAGAGGUGAAAUUCGUAGAUAUUAGAAAGAACACCAACUGCGAAGGCAACUUUCUGGAUCAUUACUGACACUGAGGAGCGAAAGCAUGGGUAGCGAAGAGGAUUAGAUACCCUCGUAGUCCAUGCCGUAACGAUGUGUGCUAGACGUUGGAAAUUUAUUUUUCAGUGUCGCAGCAAAAGCGUUAAGCACACCGCCUGGGGAGUAC